GAGAUUGACUCCAGUGGCCGAUGGAGAGGCGGAGUCAGGGUGACAGAUACAGGGCCACGUCACCACCAUGGUCACGUGAUCAGUGGCACGCUUGUUUAGCUCCCCGGUGCCAAAGUUCAGCUGUUGAGAUGACGACCCACGGCCAGUGUGCGGAUGGAUCCAUUCUCGAUGUCUCCUCAGCUUCACGAAAGAAACUCGACUCUCCAAAAAGCUGAGCUAGGACUUGGGAUGACUGCUGACCAGGCACUCACUCCAUCUGAAUCUCGCUGACUGAGGAGAGCCGCUCAAGCCACAUUUAAAUGCUGGCACUGAAGGGGUGCCACCGCCGAUCCUCAAGGCCGGGUGGACCAUCGAGGCGGACCAAUCGCAUUCGAGCUGGGUGAACAUGGAAGCUCCUCCAACGAAUUCGGAGAAGUGAAUAUAUGACAAGGAUAUUUCACGCGAAUUACGAAGCCAAGAAUCAACGAAGAGGGUUUAACCCAGCGUAAUUAGCGAACAAGAAUUACCCGGUAAUCGUUAGCGAAGAUGAAUUACUCAGAGAGAAUUAACGAAGAGAUAGAAAGAGAGGAAAAAAAAUAGUUCACUGGGAAUACCCAGUAAGUGGAAUGAACAAACACCAAUGAGAGAUAACGCAAAAUAAUUAAAUGAAUUCAAAACGAAACAAAAUGAAUUUAACAAAACAAGAAAAAGCAACGAAACAACAGUGCGUUAGUUGUUUAAACUCAGACAGAAUUAACGAAGAGAUAUAAUUCUUUUUUUUAGCUCAUCGGGAAUACCCAAUUAGUGAAACAAACAAACACUAAUGAGAGCUAACGCAAAAAAAAAGAAUUAAAAACAAAAA